rnacentral:lncRNA from 10 species
GGUUUUAUAAGAAUCUGGUAUUUCCUCUGCUUGCACUUCUCUUUCCUGCCGCCAUGUGAAGGUUCUUGUUUCCCCUUCACCUUCUGCCACGAUUGGAAGCACUUCCCAGUCUUGUCGCAUGACGGUGCACAGUGGACGUGGCACCGCAUGGUGUGGCACACAGGAAUCAGUGGACGGAGGAGCUGCUCCCAGCAGGAGGGGCCGAUCCCUGGCUGUUCCAGCUGCUCCUGGCCCUGCUCAGACAUCCUGAGGACUGAGACUCUAAACCCGGCAGGUCUGCAUUCAUCUCACAGCACACGAAGAGCUCCAAGUCGGACAUCAAGGGCUCCGCACAUUGUGAAAGUUUUCCUUGAAGUUACGAUGGGAAUCCAGAACGCCGUAUGGACCCCUCUGUGGGUAGCGCAGAAAUAAUUUUUGUAUUUUCAGUAGAGACGGGGUUUCACCAUGUUGGCCAGGCUGGUUGUGAACUCCUGACCUCGUGAUCUGCCGUCCUCCGCCUCCCAAAGUGUUGGGAUUACAGGCGUGAGCCACCACGCCCAGCCUCUUCUUUCCUUCUUUUCCUCUUUCUGGAAUUCCUACUGGGUAGGUGUUGUACCUCUGUAUUAAUCAUCUAUAUCUCUUAUUGUUUCUGGCCUAUUUUCUGUUUCCUGUUCUCUUUAUUCUCUGUGACCUCCUAAACAUUAUUGUCCACCCAUAUUUAUUAUUUUACAUUUUGUGAACCAUAAUUUUAAUUUCCAGAGGCUUUUACUGUGGUUCUUCUCACAGGGCUUAUUUUUCACUGUGUCAUGUUCUUGUUUUAUUGUUUUAUGGAUGGAAUAUUUUCUAAAAUCUCUCUGGGGAUGCUGAUCAAAGAAGUUCUGUUCUUUCAUGUUCUUUGUUUUAUGUUCUUUU